CUAGAAGUUAAACCUUGUGCUUAAUUUUCAGAGCUUCAGUUUUCCCAUACAUACUAUGGGAAUUUUACCUCUUGGUUAUUUUUUGGAAUGGUAAAGUUCUUAUCAAGGUAUCCGGCAUGUUGAAAUUUCUCAAUAAAUGGAAACGACCCAGACAUAUCACUGAGGGAUGUGGCAUCACAGAAAUAUCACUGAGGCCAAGGAAAAAAGGAAGACCUCUCGGCUUCUCUAAAGUGCUAAUGUGUACUGUGAAUUUCAAGACAAGCUUUGCUGCAGCGUUUCCUUUAUUUAUUUGGCCAUGGAGACUGAGGCAAUGGUGCCCCUUUGCACAAGGAAGUGUGCGGAAUCAGUGAGCCUGAGAACAACACACUUUACGGUCACUUAUUCUACUCCUCCAUCCUGACUCCCCAUGGCAGGAGAAGCUCUGUGGCUGAGACCUGGCAUAUUAAAAUUUUUAUUUGGUGACAAUUCUAUAGGCUUACAGCCUCAUGUUGCUGAAAAAGUGGUGUGAAUGCAAUAGCACUCCCUCCACAGACAUCCACAUCCUUCCUUGGCAAAAAUGGUGUGUACAGAUUCAAGCUUCUGUUCUAAAAGAA
rnacentral:lncRNA from 1 species